GUUUAUAGCCAUACCACCCUGAAUGGCACCAAUCUUGUUUGAUCUUGGAAGCUAAGCAGGGUUGGGCCUGGUUAGUGCUUAGAUGGGAGAAAGGAAGAGUGUUUGUUAGAAUCC
rnacentral:rRNA from 1 species